ensembl:lncRNA
UUAAUGAAGUCCCCUCUCAGUUGCCUCUUCACCCACUCAGCCUUUCUUCACAAUGCUCCUUAACGAUCUUUGUUGCCCUCUGCUGGCCCCCAGGUUUGGGGUGUCGGAAGUCAGUAAUAAACAGGGGUGGGAGUGGAGUAUUGAUGUGUGAGGGGAAGGUAGGAGGGUGGAAGGAUGGAAAAGGAAAAAAAGGUGUCCGGGGGAGAGUAGUCUGAAUUGGGUUAUGGGGCGCUGCCCCACCUCACCCAUUGGACUCAGCGCGCAGGCCGUGAGUCUGUCUCAAAGCACCGCGGGGCCACGAGCAUCCGCCGGGGUUCGCGGGGGAACCGCUGCGGCUUCUCCUGCCCGGGCCGGCCCGCGCGGCGCCCCCCCUUGCUGGUGGCUCACCCGCCCGUCGCGGGCGGGGCCCUGCUGGGGCCGCGGGCGGCCCUUCCCUCAGACCUUCCCCGAGGCGGGGCGCGGGUGACGCGCACCCCGUGGCUGGCCUCGGCAGUGAGCUUCCCCCGGACGCCUGCAAGGACGUUUCGGGUUACUUAUAUAGCCUCACUUAGGCGACUUUUUCAGCUCAGGGGCUGCUUGGCUCCCAGGACCACAGAGCUGGAAGUGACAGGCCGAGCCCAGGAUGCUGUGCUGGGGCAGAUGCUUGAGUGCCUCCUCCAGUGCCCACACCUGCCUGGGCAGAAGUGGAAGUUGUAUUGAAGGAGUUGCUUGGUGACCGUUCUUCUGGGAAGGCUUAGAGAACCAAACGGUUAAGUAGGAUUAAUAAAAAUGUAUCAAAAUUUGUAAACA